GUUAUGUUCGUUUCUAGGAUUUGAAAAAGGUUUGAAAACAUUUUAAACACUGAACGUAAUCUGCUUUUAAUGUACUGUGUUCAGUGAACAGGGAAGUUUUGUUGUAAACCAUCUUCACUCCAUGAUCUCUGAAUAAUUCGCAUCACGCUUUAUUGAGUUUUCCUCUGAUGUGAUUUGGGAAGCAUGCAGGAUACCGUGGGGUGUAAUGCAGCAUUCCUGCUCUUCUGGGGAAUCUUGAAUUCUUACUUUCCUCUAGAUUGCUGCCAAACUGCCCCUACUUUUACUGCCAGUUAUUCUCCAGACCUUUAUGUCUCUGUUUCUACAACAACUCCAGACUCAAGUUCAUCUAUCUUCACCACAACAUCAGAAUCAAAUCCCCUCACAAACACAAGUACAACCGAGUCUUACUCCACCAUUCAAGCCACUACACAACUGAAGAACACUUCUCUCAGUGACACUUCUGACUCAACAUUAAACCAACAAAGCAUUGCCACUCAAACAACGGAGCCCUUAACUAGUGCCACUGCACAUGGGAUCAGUUCAACAGGAAGCACUAAAACAACUAGCUCGGACACAUCAACAACAUCUGAGACACCUACACUGACUCCAAAUCAUGCAAACAAUGAUUCCAUUACCACCACUGAUUCCAAAACACAAUAUAAAGUAGAGCAAACCUCAGACAGCAAUACAUCCAUUUUUUGGUCUACUGGAACAUUAACUGGUACCCAAAGACCUGAGCCAACAAAUGGAACUUCAACCAAGAGUAGUGUCACAAAGACAUCAUAUUCUGAAUUGACAACAACAAUAAUUGUGCCUACAACAACUCCAGACUCUUCAUUAGCGUCCCCUGAUGUGUCUUCUAAAACAUCAUACUCCACUUUGACAACAACACAACAGCUUGAGUCAUCAGACCAUGCUCAAGUCUCCAUCACAUCAAAUGAAUCGACAACUACAAUGAUUUCCUCUACAACAACUCCAGACUCAAGUUCAUCUAUCUUCACCAAAACAUCAGAACCAAAUACCAUCACAAACACAAGUACAACUGAGUCUUACUCAACCAUUCAACCAACUACACAACUGAAGAACACUUCUCUCAGUGACACUUCUGACUCAAUAUCAGAACAACAAAGCACUGCCACUCAAACAACGGAGCCCUUAACCAAUGCCACUGCACAUGGGAUCAGUUCAACAGGAAGCACUAAAACAACUAGCUCGGACACAUCAACAACAUCUGAGAUACCUACACUGACUCCAAUUCAUGCAAACAAUGAUUCCAUUACCACCACUGAUUCCAAAAUACAAUAUAAUUUAGAGAAAACCUCAGUCAGCAAUACAUCCAUUUCUUGGUCUACUGGAACAUUAACUGAUACCCAAAGGCCUGAGCCAACAAACGAAACUUCAACCAACAGUAGUGUCAAAAAGACAGCAUUUUCUGAAUCGACAACAACAAUGCUUGUGUCUAAAACAACUGCAGGCUCUUCAUUUCCGUCUUCUCUAACAUCAUACUCCACUGUUACAACAACACAACAGCUUGAGUCCUCAGACAAUACUCAAGUCUCCAUCACAUCAAAUGAAUCGAAAACUACAAUGAUUUCCUCUACAACAACUCCAGACUCAAGUUCAUCUCUCUUCACCAAAACAUCAGAACCAAAUACCCUCACAAACACAAGUAAAACCGAGUCUUACUCAACCAUAAAAACAACUACACAACUGAAGAACACUUCUCUCAGUGACACUUCUGACUCAAGAUUAAACCAACAAAGCAUUGCCACUCAAACAACGGAGCCCUUAACCAAUGCUACUGCACAUGGGAUCAGUUCAACAGGAAGCACUAAAACAACUAGCUCGGAUACAUCAACAACAUCUGAGACACCUAAACUGACUCCAAUUCAUGUAAACAAUGAUUCCAUUACCACCACUGAUUCCAAAACAAAGUAUAAAGUAGAGCAAACCUCAGAUAGCAAUACAUCUAUUUCUUGGUCUACUGGAACAUUAACUGGCACCCAAAGGCCUGAGCCAAUAACCGACACUUUAACCAACAGUAGUGUCACAAAGACAUCAUAUACUGAAUCGACAACAACAAUAACUGUGCCUACAACAACUCCAAACUCUUCAUUAGCAUCCCCUGAUGUGUCUUCUCAAACAUCAUACUCCACUGUGACAACAACACAACAGCUUGAUUCAUCAGACCAUACACAAUUCUCCAUCACAUCAAAUGAAUCGACAACUACAAUGAUUUCCUCUACAACAACUCCAGACAUAAGUUCAUCUAUCUUCACCAAAACAUCAGAACCAAAUACCCUCACAAACACAAGUAAAACUGAGUCUUACUCAACCAUAAAAACAACUACACAACUGAAGAACACUUCUCUUAGUGACACUUCUGACUCAACCUUAAACCAACAAAGCAUUGCCACUCAAACAACGGAGCCCUUAACCAAUGCUACUGCACAUGGGAUCAGUUCAACAGGAAGCACUAAAACAACUAGCUCGGACACAUCAACAACAUCUGAGACACCUAAACUGACUCCAAAUCAUGCAAACAAUGAUUACAUUACCACCACUGAUUCCAAAACACAAUAUAAAGUAGAGCAAACCUCAAACAGCAAUACAUCCAUUUAUUGGUCUACUGGAACCCAAAGGCCUGAGCCAACAACCGAAACUUCAACCAACAGUAGUGUCACAAAGACAUCAUAUACUGAAUUGACAACAACAAUAAUUGUGCCUACAACAACUCCAAACUCUUCAUUAGCAUCCCCUGAUGUGUCUUCUCAAACAUCAUACUCCACUGUGACAACAACACAACAGCUUGAUUCAUCAGACCAUACUCAAGUCUCCAUCACAUCAAAUGAAUCGACAACUACAACGAUUUCCUCUACAACAACUCCAGACUCAAGUUCAUCUAUCUUCAUCAAAACAUCAGAACCAAAUACCCUCACAAACACAAGUACAACCGAGUCUUACUCAACCAUUCAACCAACUACACAACUGAAGAACACUUCUCUCAGUGACACUUCUGACUCAACAUUAAACCAACAAAGCAUUGCCACUAAAACAACGGAGCCCUUAACCAAUGCUACUGCACAUGGGAUCAGUUCAACAGGAAGCACUAAAACAACUAACUCGGACACAUCAACAACAUCUGAGAUACCUACACUGACUCCAAUUCAUGCAAAUAAUAAUUCCAUUACCACCACUGAUUCCAAAACACAAUAUAAUGUAGAGCAUACCUCAGACAGCAAUACAUCCAUUUCUUGGAUUACUGGAACAUUAACUGGCACCCAAAAACCUGAGCCAACAAUCAAAACUUCAGCCAACAGUAAUUUCACUAAGACAGCAUUUUCUGAAUUGACAGCAACAAUGCUUGCACCUACAACAACUACAGGCUCUUUAUUUCCGUCUUUUAUAACAUCAUACUCAACUGUGACAACAACACAACAGCUUGAGUCAUCAGACCAUACUCAAGUCUCCAUCACAUCAAAUGAAUCGACAGCUAAAAUGAUUUCCUCUACAACAACUACAGACUCAAGUUCAUCUAUCUUCACCAAAACAUCAGAACCAAAUACCCUCACAAACACAAGUACAACUGAGUCUCACUCAACUAUUCAACCAACUACACAACUGAAGAACACUUCUCUUAGUGACACUUCUGACUCAAUAUCAGAACAACAAAGCAUUGCCACUCAAACCAUGGAGCCCUUAACCAAUGCCACCGCACAUGGGAUAAGUUCAACAGGAAGCACUAAAACAACUAGCUCGGACACAUCAACAACAUCUGAGACACCUAAACUGACUCCAAUUCAUGCAAACAAUAAUUCCAUUACCACCACUGAUUCCAAAACACAAUAUAAUGUAGAGCAUACCUCAGACAGCAAUACAUCCAUUUCUUGGAUUACUGGAACAUUAACUGGUACCCAAAAACCUGAGCCAACAAUCAAAACUUCAACCAACAGUAAUUUCACUAAGACAGCAUUUUCUGAAUUGACAGCAACAAUGCUUGCACCUACAACAACUACAGGCUCUUUAUUUCCGUCUUCUAUAACAUCAUACUCCAUUGUGACAACAACACAACAGCUUGAUUCAUCAGACCAUACUCAAGUCUCCAUCACAUCAAAUGAAUCGACAGCUAAAAUGUUUUCCUCUACAACAACUCCAGACUCAAGUUCAUCUAUCUUCACCAAAACAUCAGAACCAAAUCCCCUCACAAACACAAGUUCAG
ensembl:lncRNA